UGAAGCCCAGCUGAUAGGCACGGCAGAGCAGAUUGCCGUGCCUCAGAUGUUUUAUUCAUCGGGGCUGCAGUAGAAGCACUCAGCCUAAAUGCACUGUCAGCCCUAUGUCUCCUUGUGCCAAGGACAAUGACGUCUGCACAUUUAAGAUUUCUUAUUCCUCUGGAUACUUUUGCCAAGAGGCAGCUGUUAUCAGAGAAGAAAAAAAUAGUAGAAGGCCCAAACGUGCAAAUGCAAAUAGAAAUACAAAAGAAGUUGGCAACGCCUCCAAA